GACGUAGGGCGCGAGCGUUGUCCGGAUUUAUUGGGCGUAAAGAGCUCGUAGGCGGCUUGUCGCGUCGUUCGUGAAAACCUGGGGCUCAACCCCAGGCUUGCGGGCGGUACGGGCAGACUAGAGUGCGGUAGGGGAGAUUGGAAUUCCUGGUGUAGCGGUGGAAUGCGCAGAUAUCAGGAGGAACACCAAUGGCGAAGGCAGAUCUCUGGGCCGUAACUGACGCUGAGGAGCGAAAGCAUGGGGGAGCGAACAGG
rnacentral:rRNA from 1 species